AUUGCUUUGGCAGAUUAGUGCGGUUGAUUUAGAAUCAUUAUAUGUAAUUUUAUUACAAGUAAUA
rnacentral:tRNA from 1 species